rnacentral:snoRNA from 1 species
CUAGCACUUUCACAUGCCCUCCCCCAUGUACUGAGGCUAAGAUUUGAUAACUGGUUCUGAGAAAACCCUUGAUUACAUCCUUGUUCUGGGACUAUACCAGUGACAACUGUCAGUCAAUGGGACAGAG